rnacentral:lncRNA from 1 species
GGCUGGGGGAGCCGCCGUUGGCUCUGGUGCCCCUGGGGGUGGGAGCACGAGUGGGCAGAGUGAUGGUGAGGCAGAGGAGGCGGCCCGGACCCGGCGAGCUCGAGGGAGCGCCCGGCUGAGAGGCGGGGGGCCGAGGGGCCCGGGGAGCGGGCGCCGCCGAGGGCCCUGAAAGCUGCAGGGCUGGGGGAGAGGAGACGCGUGUGUGGGGCACGGGGACCCCAGCCCAGCUCCCACUUGCAGACCUGGGCCGCGGGCUGCCGGCCGAGGGGCCGAGGGGCCUGGCUGCCCAGGAGGCGGGCCGGGGCCGCGGCCGGGGGCGCGGAGCGGAGUUAGGGUCGCCAGGCCGAGCCGAGGUGGGACGGACCGACGCAGAGAGGAAGGGAAGCCACCUGGCCUGAAGAUCCCGUCUCUAAGAUCCCAUUCUGAGGCUUCGAGGGUCUGGCUUGAGCAGCACAGACAGGGAUGUGUCUAAUUGGGAUGACCAUGAGGUCUCAUCGCAGUUUGCCACUAACCAG